rnacentral:rRNA from 1 species
GAUGAACGCUGGCGGCGUGCCUAAUACAUGCAAGUCGAGCGAACAGACGAGGAGCUUGCUCCUCUGACGUUAGCGGCGGACGGGUGAGUAACACGUGGAUAACCUACCUAUAAGACUGGGAUAAAUUCGGGAAACCGGAGCUAAUACCGGAUAAUAUAUUGAACCGCAUGGUUCAAUAGUGAAAGACGGUUUUGCUGUCACUUAUAGAUGGAUCCGCGCCGCAUUAGCUCGUUGGUAAGGUAACGGCUUACCAAGGCGACGAUGCGUAGCCGACCUGAGAGGGUGAUCGGCCACACUGGAACUGAGACACGGUCCAGACUCCUACGGGAGGCAGCAGUAGGGAAUCUUCCGCAAUGGGCGAAAGCCUGACGGAGCAACGCCGCGUGAGUGAUGAAGGUCUUCGGAUCGUAAAACUCUGUUAUUAGGGAAGAACAAAUGUGUAAGUAACUAUGCACGUCUUGACGGUACCUAAUCAGAAAGCCACGGCUAACUACGUG